AGUUUCACAAGCCAAUAGUUCGGCUGUUGCCUGUGCAAAGGCCAGACCAUGUGUGUGACUGCCCAGCAGGUAACGUUGAGGUUUCACCCGGCGCAAUUGUGGCUCUUGUAACCAUAAAUGGCUGUUAUAACCUUGCACUGCCAGUGGUGAGCUGCACCAGCUGUGACCUAAUGUGGUCCCCCUCAGUUAAGGACAUCCUGGGUAGUGGAUAUUGGCCUGGCACCUUAAAUUUCUGCACCCUGUUUUCAAUGGAUGUCUUUCUAUGACAUUAAGAAGGCUGGAUCAGGGAUGUCACUUAAGGCAUUUGUCAAAAUGCUGGAUGAAAGAACAGCCCAUUUUGGAAG